rnacentral:rRNA from 1 species
GUAGGGAAUUUUCCGCAAUGCACGAAAGUGUGACGGAGCGACGCCGCGUGUGUGAUGAAGGCUUUCGGGUCGUAAAGCACUGUUGUAAGGGAAGAAUGACCGGAUUCAGAGAAAGUUUCCGGCUUGACGGUACCUUACCAGAAAGGGAUGGCUAAAUACGUGCCAGCAGCCGCGGUAAUACGUAUGUCCCGAGCGUUAUCCGGAUUUAUUGGGCGUAAAGCGAGCGCAGACGGUUGAUUAAGUCUGAUGUGAAAUCCCGGAGCCUAACUCCGGAACUGCAUUGGAAACUGGUUUACUUGAGUGCGAUAGAGGCAAGUGGAACUCCAUGUGUAGCGGUGAAAUGCGUAGAUAUGUGGAAGAACACCAGUGGCGAAGGCGGCUUGCUAGAUCGUAACUGACGUUGAGGCUCGAAAGUAUGGGUAGCAAACGGGAUUAGAAACCCUAGUAGUCC